ACAUUCCUAGCAUGUUGGUUAGCGUCAUAGCUAAAUCAGCAUGGUAGGAAUGUAUUU
rnacentral:pre_miRNA from 1 species